UUUCUACUCCCUCCGUCCAAAAAUACUUGUCAUCAAAAUGGAUAAAAAGAGAUGUAUCUAAAACUAAAAUACGUCUAGAUACAUUUCCUUUUAUCCAUUUUGAUGACAAGUAUUUCUGGAUGGAGGGAGUAUUUG
rnacentral:pre_miRNA from 1 species